AGUACACGGAAGAUGAAGCACGACGGACGACGAACGAAUGAACGUUACCACAAUGAUCUUUAUCUGGCAGCAUUAAAAA
rnacentral:lncRNA from 1 species